CAAAUGUUACUGUACGAAAACCUUACAGCUUGAGAUCACAUGUGUUUUUCAUGCUCAAUAUUCACUCUGAGUUAAGGGGAGGAGCUUCAAGCAGCUGUAAAGAUCUCAAGUGCCAUCAUAGAUGUGCCAGUUCAUCGUGAUGCUGCUCACCACAGUUAUCCUGCUCUGUGCUGUUGGAAGUGGAAGGUCUGAGAGUCCUAUUACAUCAGACCAAACUGAGGUUGUUGACGAGGAGGGUGCCAAUUUAACUUUAUCCUGUAGCUACUCAGCUGCAAUUAGUUUGCAUUGGUACCGUAAAUAUCCCAAAUCAGCUCCUGAAUAUAUUUUAUUAAUUCUGCAAACCUCUGGACGGGUCCAGAAAGCAGCGAAACUGGAUUCUCAGUUUUCAGCGAGACUGAAUGAAAAGAAAAACCGUGUGGAGCUGAUCGUCUCCUCUGUCAAAGUGACAGAUUCUGCUCUGUACUACUGUGCUCUGGAGACCACAGUGACAGGAAACCUAUCCACACUGUACAAAAACAUACAUAUACACAGUUAUUUAAAAAAAAUACUCAUAUAGUCCUCAUUCAAAAAGUUAAGAUAUUGUAACAGCUAAACAGUGUAACAGCCCUAAUACUGUACAUAAGAAAAAUAUGUCCUUAUGAAAAAAGUAAAUUAUCGUGGUCUAUCUUUUGAGUAAUCUGCCAUCUAGUGGUCCUUUAGGCUCAGUACAUUGGCUGAAUUAUUUGUGAAAUACAUGUCUUUUGUGGCUUUAUGAUAUCAAAUCAAGCAGUGAAAAUUAUCUACUUAAGUUAUCUACUCAAAUGUAGUGAUUUUUUAAAGACAGGGAACAUAAGUAUAUGAGUUUCUUUCUGUCUAUUAUUUUUGCAUGUAUAUUUAUUUCCAUUUAUCACUUUGGUUGAAGCCAACCAAAUAUUAUUUAUACAAUAAUAGUAAUAAUAUAGUUGUGAUAUGCACAAAAGACAAGAGCAAAUGAAUACAUUCCUGUCAAAUUAAUGUUAAAUGCAAACCAGUUCAUUAAAGAUGAACACUAUGAAUAUAUCAAAGUUGAUCAAAGAACUUAAUAACUUAAUAAAAUGCCAGUAGAUUAUGACAUGACAUGGCAGUCUGAUUGACAGUCGACAAAAAUUCAGAAAGUUUGACAGCGAUACAGCAUGUCAACAUGUGUUUCUCCUGGGUU